ACGCUCUACAACCCUUUGUGAACAUACCUAUAACUGUUGCUUCGGCGGGUAGGGUCUCCGUGACCCUCCCGGCCUCCCGCCCCCGGGCGGGUCGGCGCCCGCCGGAGGAUAACCAAACUCUGAUUUAACGACGUUUCUUCUGAGUGGUACAAGCAAAUAAUCAAAACUUUUAACAACGGAUCUCUUGGUUCUGGCAUCGAUGAAGAACGCAGCGAAAUGCGAUAAGUAAUGUGAAUUGCAGAAUUCAGUGAAUCAUCGAAUCUUUGAACGCACAUUGCGCCCGCCAGCAUUCUGGCGGGCAUGCCUGUUCGAGCGUCAUUUCAACCCUCAAGCUCUGCUUGGUGUUGGGGCCCUACAGCUGAUGUAGGCCCUCAAAGGUAGUGGCGGACCCUCCCGGAGCCUCCUUUGCGUAGUAACUUUACGUCUCGCACUGGGAUCCGGAGGGACUCUUGCCGUAAAACCCCCAAUUUUCCAAAGGUUGACCUCGGAUCAGGUAGGAAUACCCGCUGAACUUAAGCAUAUCAAUAAGCGGAGGAAAAGAAACCAACAGGGAUUGCCUCAGUAACGGCGAGUGAAGCGGCAACAGCUCAAAUUUGAAAUCUGGCCCUAGGCCCGAGUUGUAAUUUGCAGAGGAUGCUUUUGGUGCGGUGCCUUCCAAGUUCCCUAGAACGGGACGCCAGAGAGGGUGAGAGCCCCGUACAGUUGGACACCAAGCCUUUGUAAAGCUCCUUCGACGAGUCGAGUAGUUUGGGAAUGCUGCUCAAAAUGGGAGGUAUAUUUCUUCUAAAGCUAAAUACCGGCCAGAGACCGAUAGCGCACAAGUAGAGUGAUCGAAAGAUGAAAAGCACUUUGAAAAGAGGGUUAAACAGCACGUGAAAUUGUUAAAAGGGAAGCGCUUGUGACCAGACUUGCGUCCGGUGAAUCACCCAGCUCUCGCGGCUGGGGCACUUCGCCGGCUCAGGCCAGCAUCAGCUCGCUGUCGGGGACAAAAGCUUCAGGAACGUAGCUCUCUUCGGGGAGUGUUAUAGCCUGUUGCAUAAUACCCU
rnacentral:rRNA from 1 species